rnacentral:rRNA from 1 species
UAGAGUUUGAUCCUGGCUCAGGACGAACGCUGGCGGCGUGCUUAACACAUGCAAGUCGAACGAUGAAGCCGCUUCGGUGGUGGAUUAGUGGCGAACGGGUGAGUAACACGUGGGCAAUCUGCCCUGCACUCUGGGACAAGCCCUGGAAACGGGGUCUAAUACCGGAUAUGACACGGGAUCGCAUGGUCUCCGUGUGGAAAGCUCCGGCGGUGCAGGAUGAGCCCGCGGCCUAUCAGCUUGUUGGUGGGGUGAUGGCCUACCAAGGCGACGACGGGUAGCCGGCCUGAGAGGGCGACCGGCCACACUGGGACUGAGACACGGCCCAGACUCCUACGGGAGGCAGCAGUGGGGAAUAUUGCACAAUGGGCGCAAGCCUGAUGCAGCGACGCCGCGUGAGGGAUGACGGCCUUCGGGUUGUAAACCUCUUUCAGCAGGGAAGAAGCGAGAGUGACGGUACCUGCAGAAGAAGCACCGGCUAACUACGUGCCAGCAGCCGCGGUAAUACGUAGGGUGCGAGCUUUGUCCGGAAUUAUUGGGCGUAAAGAGCUCGUAGGCGGCUUGUCGCGUCGGAUGUGAAAGCCCGGGGCUUAACCCCGGGUCUGCAUUCGAUACGGGCAGGCUAGAGUUCGGCAGGGGAGAUUGGAAUUCCUGGUGUAGCGGUGAAAUGCGCAGAUAUCAGGAGGAACACCGGUGGCGAAGGCGGAUCUCUGGGCCGAUACUGACGCUGAGGAGCGAAAGCCGUGGGGAGCGAACAGGAUUAGAUACCCUGGUAGUCCACGCCGUAAACGUUGGGCACUAGGUGUGGGCCGUACUCCC